CAUAACUGUUGUGAUCCCAUAUGCACCAUGAGAGACAAUGUUAAUAUGACCAAUAUCUUUUAUUAAAGCAUAUAGCUGGAAUAUCUCUUUAGCUCGAUCCAUGCAUUUAAUGGAUGGUUGAUUGUAGUGAGUCAAAAGAGCUGUUGUCUGACAAAAAUUUAAGAAGGUCAUCAAAUCCCUCGGUAGUAUAUUCAUGGCUAGAUCAUGAAAGGAGAAGCAUGUCAAAGUCAUCAAUUGCCUGUUGUAAUCCAAGUUUCUGGGGUGCAUUUGUGGUGGUGGUGAUUGUUUUGGAGCGUCUGGAUACCGAGUUAGUAUUGGUAGCAGGUAUUCCUUUAACAUCAUUGGUUGCCAUAAGGACACUGGCACCUUUGCUCUUGGUGUUUGUCUUUGCAUGUUUCUUCUUCUGUG